CACAAAACCAUGCGAACACGGAACCUGUGAGAACAAAGAUGGCGGAUACAAAUGUACCUGCUCACCUGGAUGGACUGGACAGAACUGUCAGCAAAAAAGUGACGUGUGUGUGACGACACCUUGCCAAAAUGGAACCUGUGUGAACCAAGCUGGUAGGCACAGGUGUAGGUCCACGCCUGGACUGUCUGGAAGAAACUGUCAGCAAGCCUGGCAAUGCCCAAGUGGAUGGAGCGAAUACAACAACCACUGCUACAAGUACGUGAGAAGCAGAGUCGACUGGUUCACAGCGGACGCAC